rnacentral:rRNA from 1 species
UGCAGUCGAGGGGCAGCACGAAUAGCAAUAUUUGGUGGCGACCGGCGCACGGGUGCGUAACACGUAUACAACCUACCUAUAACAGGGGGAUAGCCUUUCGAAAGAGAGAUUAAUACCCCGUAAUAAAUUGAAUGGCAUCAUUUGAUUUUGAAAGCUACGGCGGUUAUAGAUGGGUAUGCGUCUGAUUAGCUAGUUGGUGAGGUAAUGGCUCACCAAGGCGACGAUCAGUAGGGGAUCUGAGAGGACUAACCCCCACACUGGUACUGAGACACGGACCAGACUCCUACGGGAGGCAGCAGUAAGGAAUAUUGGUCAAUGGAGGCAACUCUGAACCAGCCAUGCCGCGUGCAGGAUGACGGCCCUAUGGGUUGUAAACUGCUUUUGUACCAGAGAAAACCUAUCUACGUGUAGAUAGCUGAUAGUAUGGUAAGAAUAAGCAUCGGCUAACUUCGUGCCAGCAGCCGCGGUAAGACGAAGGAUGCAAGCGUUAUCCGGAUUCAUUGGGUUUAAAGGGUGCGUAGGCGGACUUGUAAGUCAGUGGUGAAAUCUCUUUGCUUAACAAAGAAACUGCCAUUGAUACUGCAGGUCUAGAGUAUAGAUGACGUUGGCGGAAUAUGACAUGUAGUGGUGAAAUACUUAGAUAUGUCAUAGAACACCGAUUGCGAAGGCAGCUAACGAAACUAUAACUGACGCUGAGGCACGAAAGUGCGGGGAUCAAACAGGAUUAGAUACCCUGGUAGUCCGCACCGUAAACGAUGAUUACUCGUUGUUGGCGAUAUGACAGUCAGCGACCAAGCGAAAGCGAUAAGUAAUCCACCUGGGGAGUACGCCGGCAACGGUGAAACUCAAAGGAAUUGACGGGGGCCCGCACAAGCGGAGGAGCAUGUGGUUUAAUUCGAUGAUACGCGAGGAACCUUACCUGGGCUUGAAAGUUAGCGACCGGUCCUGAAAGGGAUCUUCCAGCAAUGGCGCGGAAACUAGGUGCUGCAUGG